UCUGCUGGUCGUUUUUACCAUCCAGCAUAGUCUUUUGACCCUUUGUCUUUGUCUCAUGUCUCAUUAAGCUGUCGCUUUUUUAAUUUCUCCAAGCCGAGGGUACCAAACUGUGAGAACUCUUAGGUUCUUUUAUGCUACUAACCCGUAGGUUCAUUCCCAGCCAACAAUGCAUGCACUACCAAGCCAAUCAUCAAGGAUCGCUCUUCUUAUAACUCUCAGCCAUAGUCUUUGCACCCUUUGUCUUUGUCUCAUGUCUCAUUAAGCUGUCGCUUUUUUUACUUUCUGCAAGCCGAGGGUACCAAACCAGCCAACAAUGCAUGCACUACCAAGCCAAUCAUCAAUGAUCUCUCUUCUUUUAACUCCCAGCCAUAGUCUUUUGACCCUUUGUCUUUGUCUCAUGUCUCAUUAAGCUGUCGCUUUGUUUAAUUUCUCCAAGCCGAAGGUACCAAACAGUGAGAACUCUUAGGUUCUUUUAUGCUACUAACCCGUAGGUUCAUUCCCAGCCAACAAUGCAUGCACUACCAAGCCAAUCAUCAAGGAUCGCUCUUCUUUUAACUCUCAGCCAUAGUCUUUGCACCCUUUGUCUUUGUCUCAUGUCUCAUUAAGCUGUCGCUUUUUUUACUUUCUGCAAGCCGAGGGUACCAAACCAGCCAACAAUGCAUGCACUACCAAGCCAAUCAUCAAUGAUCUCUCUUCUUUUAACUCCCAGCCAUAGUCUUUUGACCCUUUGUCUUUGUCUCAUGUCUCAUUAAGCUGUCGCUUUGUUUAAUUUCUCCAAGCCGAAGGUACCAAACAGUGAGAACUCUUAGGUUCUUUUAUGCUACUAACCCGUAGGUUCAUUUCCAGCCAACAAUGCAUGCACUACCAAACCAAUCAUCAAGUAUCUCUCUUCUUUUCGUUCCCAGCCAUUGUCUUUUGAUACUUUGUCUCUCUCUUAUGUCUCAUUAAGCUGUCGCUUUUUUUAAUUUCUCCAAGCUGAGGGUACCAAACUGUGAGAACUCGUAGGUUCUUUUAUGCUACUAACCCGUAGGUUCAUUCCCAGCCAACAAUGCAUGCACUACCAAGCCAAUCAUCAAGGAUCGCUCUUCUUUUAACUCCCAGCCAUAGUCUUUGACCCUUUGUCUUUGUCUCAUGUCUCAUUAAGCUGUCGCUUUUUUAAUUUCUCCAAGCCGAGGGUACCAAACUGUGAGAACUCUUAGGUUCUUCUAUGCUACUAACCCGUAGGUUCAUUUCCAGCCAACAAUGCAUGCACUACCAAACCAAUCAUCAAGUAUCUCUCUUCUUUUCGUUCCCAGCCAUUGUCUUUUGAUACUUUGUCUCUUUCUU
rnacentral:lncRNA from 1 species